rnacentral:rRNA from 1 species
UACGUAGGGACCAAGCGUUGUCCGGAAUCAUUGGGCGUAAAGAGCGUGUAGGCGGCUUGUUAAGUCUUGCGUGAAAUCUCGGGGCUCAACCCCGAGCGGUCGUGAGAAACUGGCAGGCUAGAGUGCGGGAGAGGAGAGUGGAAUUCCUGGUGUAGCGGUGAAAUGCGCAGAUAUCAGGAAGAACACCCGUGGCGAAGGCGGCUCUCUGGGACGUAACUGACGCUGAGACGCGAAAAGCGUGGGGAGCAAACAGG